CGGUAACAGCUCAAAUUUGAAAGCUAGCUCUUUUAGGGUUCGCAUUGUAAUUUGUAGAGGAUGCUUCGAGCAUGGUCUGGCCUAAGUUCCUUGGAACAGGACGUCAUAGAGGGUGAGAAUCCCGUAUGCGGCCAGGUGCCUACGCUCAUGUGAAGCUCCUUCGAC
rnacentral:rRNA from 1 species